AUAUCUUUCUCGGCCUUUUGGCUAAGAUAAAGUGUAAUAUGCGUUCUUAACAUUUUAAUAUCUGAGAUAUGGACUAUAUGUUCACUUAAUAUUAAAUUUAUUUGUAUAGGUAUUUUUUGUGGAGAUGGUUUACCACGCUGGCUUACUAAACUCUCAUCUGUUACACUGUUGAUAGACAUUAA
rnacentral:snRNA from 1 species